AAGAGGGCCAAAGAAGCAGUGCCAGGAACAGGCGUGUUUCUGGCUGCCCCUUCUGCUGGGCAGCAGCACUACUCAGCGAACUCAGCCAUUUCUAAAUCUGUCUUUGCUUCGACUGGAAGAGUCCCCAUGCUCCCAAAACAAACAAACAAAAAACAAGUAAAUAAAAUUGCAUCCCUUGAUUCUCUCCAGGGAAACUGCUACAGAAUGGGGGUUCUCUAAAUGCAGAAAGAUGCCUGUCCUGAUCCGUCUGAAAAGUCCCUUCACGGUGAAGCUGGUGAGAAGCAAGGAUAGAUGUCACCUCUCCUCUCCCCAGCCCUCCCGCUGCCAGAGACUUGCCUCUCUUCCUUCUCGCCUACUGAACUCCGUGUGCACCAAAUUAUUCCAAGGAACAUCCAGCUCUCCUUAGACUGAAGGAGUUGUCAACCUCUUAGCCAGGACAACAUUUGCCAAUAAAGACCUGCCUGUGUCCCAAA